rnacentral:snRNA from 1 species
UUCAGCAGCACAUACAGUAAACUAGGAGGAUAGAGAAGUUUGGAAUGAUCUCUGGCAAAGAUGCAAAUCCAUGAAAUGUCCCAAAUUUUU